AAUAGAUACCCGGGUAGUCCACGCCGUAAACGAUGAGUGCUAAGUGUUAGGGGGUUUCCGCCCCUUAGUGCUGCAGCUAACGCAUUAAGCACUCCGCCUGGGGAGUACGGUCGCAAGACUGAAACUCAAAGGAAUUGACGGGGGCCCGCACAAGCGGUGGAGCAUGUGGUUUAAUUCGAAGCAACGCGAAGAACCUUACCAGGUCUUGACAUCCCAUUGACCGCUAUGGAGACAUAGCUUUCCUUUCGGGGACAGUGGUGACAGGUGGUGCAUGGUUGUCGUCAGCUCGUGUCGUGAGAUGUUGGGUUAAGUCCCGCAACGAGCGCAACCCUUGUUCUUAGUUGCCAUCAUUUAGUUGGGCACUCUAAGGAGACUGCCGGUGACAAACCGGAGGAAGGUGGGGAUGACGUCAAAUCAUCAUGCCCCUUAUGACCUGGGCUACACACGUGCUACAAUGGACGGUACAAACGGUUGCCAACCCGCGAGGGGAGCUAAUCCGAUAAAACCAUUCUCAGUUCGGAUUGUAGGCUGCAACUCGCCUACA
rnacentral:rRNA from 1 species